rnacentral:misc_RNA from 1 species
GAUGAAGAACGCAGCGAAAUGCGAUACGUAAUGUGAAUUGCAGAAUUCAGUGAAUCAUCGAGUCUUUGAACGCACAUUGCGCCCCUUGGUAUUCCGAGGGGCAUGCCUGCUCGAGCGUCAUUAUAACCCCUCAAGCUCAGCUUGGUGUUGGGGCCUGCUGCACUGGCAGCCCUUAAAAUCAGUGGCGGCGCCAUCUGGCUCUAAGCGUAGUAAUUCUUCUCGCUAUGGAGUCCUGGUGGAUGCUUGCCAUCAACCCCCAAUUUUUCUAUGGUUGACCUCGGAUCAGGUAGGGAUACCCGCUGAACUUAAGCAUAUCAAUAAGCGGAGGA